AUUGAACGCUGGCGGCAGGCCUAACACAUGCAAGUCGAGCGGAGCGGCGGACGGGUGAGUAAUGCCUAGGAAUCUGCCUGGUAGUGGGGGAUAACGGCCGGAAGCGGGCGCUAAUAACGCAGACUAUCAGAUGAGCCUAGGAGGGAUUAGCUAGUUGGUGGGGUAAAGGCCUACCAAGGCGACGAUCGGUAACUGGUCUGAGAGGCUGAUCAGCCACACUGGAACUGAGACACGGUCCAGACUCCUACGGGAGGCAGCAGUGGGGAAUAUUGGACAAUGGGCGCAAGCCUGAUCCAGCCAUCCCGCGUGUGUGAAGAAGGCCUUCGGAUUGUAAAGCACUUUAAGUUGGGAGGCGUUACCAACAGAAGAAGCACCGGCUAACUCCGUGCCAGCAGCCGCGGUAAUUC
rnacentral:rRNA from 1 species